UACAUGUAAAAUAGGUAAUGAAAUCGGAAAUGUUCAAAUAUUUAUUAAACGCAAUAGCUUUGUAAAAAUGGUUAAUGUUUCGAAGUGAAAUUACUAUUUUAUUUGGAUAUAAGUUACGGACAAAAGAGGAUAUAUAUAAAUAUUUGAUUAAACUUUGAACAUUUUAUAAAAAACGAAGACCAAUAUCAAACAGAGAAUGCCACGCACCAAAAACGCAGCCUCCUCCAAACGAAACACCCAGCACGCCGACGCGUGCACCACACUCUCUCUCUCUCUCACACACACACACACACACACACCUACACACACACAAAGCCAACACAUAAGGACAAAACGAACAAACAAAGGAACACAGUGGGGCACCGCCUUGGAACGGUCAGUGGCCAAAACACCACCGGGGAGCUUAAACCGGUUUAUGGUGCGCACCCAACCUCACUCUUAUCCCCACCAUGUUCCAAAGACACGGGACAUUGUAAAUAAAAGUAAUCUCCUCCGGGUGAACCUCUUACACACGUAAUGGAAACAAAAAGGCAUGGCAUGUAAAACACAAAAAUGUUCGUGUAUAAAUAUAUAAAAAGCAAACCUUAAGAACCAAAAACGUAUGUACUCAAUGCCUUUUCAGAAGACAGAGCAACAAGAGAAACACCCUUCAGGGCCCGACGAAACAGGCCAGUAUAGUUUGAUUAACUGAUGUUAAUAAUAUUUCCAUACAUGAUUUCUAUUGACUGCACACGAGUGUGAUUAUGAUCAGAUCAGAUAAUGUUCUUCGACGUCAGGUGGUAAUUCUUAUCUCGCCGCAACAUGUAUAUUAUGAUAUCGGCCUCAAGGAGUUAAUAAAAUACUAAAACGCAAGCACCCCUGAACUUACAGAUGCCUAGACAGUCCCUUAACCCCUCCGCUACAAAAGAUAAAAGCCAGCUACUCAAAUGUAUGUAAAACAUUUUGAGACCAGCUUCAUUACUGCAUGUAUUCGAUAUAUAACCCUCCCUAUAGUUAAUGCAUUUUAUCAAUUAACACUAUAUUAUUCGGACAAUAAACGAAUGAAGAGACAAACGUCAUUUAUCAAGCAUGUAUUGUAACAUUUCCGUGUUUUGCCAUUUCGUUUCAUUAUCAAAUAACUGACAAUUUAUCGCCCUUUGUAUCAACACGCCAUUUGUAAACAUGAGAGUUCAUGAGAAAGGAAACUUUUAAAUUGUAAUUUGACGAUUAAUUUAAAAAGGAUACUGAAUGGUAUUGCGCAUUUUACAGAUCAACUAUUGAUCAACUACCGAGAAGCAUCUGGCAUAUUGGCAUGAUGUUGCUAUGACCUUAAACAAAAAAAAAGGAAUUCUCAAGGCAUGUCUACAUACCACAUGUUGACAGAAAUGGCUGAAGGAUGAAAGAAUUUUCAGAAAAAUAAAAUGCUUUAGGAAUUUGUGAAUGGAAAUGAUACCAAAGGACGUAACAUAUUUGCUGAGCAUCCAAUUGAAAGUAUGCCAAUAGAAUAAACUGUCACAGAAGUGCACAAAAUAAGGCCAUGUUUUCUGCAAAAGUUCAUUAAGCUGAUUCAGACUACAAAUGGGAGUCAUGAUAAAAGUAAAACUAACUGAACUGUCACAGUUAAACUGUGAGAAGUGUUUGGUAAAAGUAUGGUGUGUUUUCAGAACUUUAAACUUGAAACUUGAGAAUUUUCUUAAACGCCUAUUUUAACACACAAAGCAUCUUCAAAGGCGUUGUACACUCAUGCAUUAAAAACAGUAAAACCAAUUCAUCAGUAUUAACACAAAGUCUUGAUUUGCUUCAAUGUAAUUGCUGUAGUAUGAAUUUUAGAACAAUGCAUAGUAGUCUUUGAAGAAGUGAGUUUUCAACUGCUUUUUGAAGAUUUUACCUGAUUCACUUUGUCUGAGAUUUAAUGACAGUUCGUUCCAAAGUUUUGGUCCAACCGUACUGAAGCUUCUUUCACUGAAUGUUUUUUUCUUGUUAUAAGGGACAACGUAGCAUCCUACUGAUGAUUCUGACGAACGUAGUGUACGUUUUGAAAUUUUACUAGACAAAAGUUCUAUUAGAUAUUGAGGAGCAUUACCAACAAAGCAGUUGUACAUAUAAGUAAGGAUCUUAAGGGGACGCAUAUUGCUACAUUCACAGUUCAUACAGCAAUGCGGAAGGGGUGCAUAUUCAAGAAAUCGAUGUUGGGAAAAUAAAAAACAUAUUCCUAAACUGAUAUAAUAUACUGAUGGACACCUGUAAUAUUCAGUAUUUUGUGGAUAAGGAUGUGGUACUAUGAAUGUAAUAGGAAAACAGAGGUGUUUGUGAAAGUACAUUCAACACAAAAUAUUAAGCUUUUGUAUAAGGAAAAAACAGGUUUUUUACAAUAACAGUGUUCCAAAUAAUGUUGAAGGGAUGAGAUUUUCUUUCUAACACACCAGGUUUGCUUAAACAUGUAAAAAUUUAACGCCACGUCAGUUCAUCUCGGGAUGGACGCCAUAUUUCUCAUUGAUAAAAAAUGUAAACAAAAAAAUCAGAGUGGGAUUAGCAUUGCAAGGCAUAACAUGACAUUCUACACAAUGAAUACCUUAGAACAGAUAUCUAAGAUGCUACACAGGUCAGGCGGGUUAAAUGCAUAAUGUCGAUUACUUGAAAUUCAUCUUGAAAAGGUGGUUAAUUUUAGUUUGUUUACAUGGGUUUUAAUUUUCCCACGACUUCUCGGCGAUUCACUGCAAAUGUAUUACUGCGCCGGACGAAAGGUAACUCUAAUAAACAACGGGAGACAACUUAGGUGUCAGCACGUGUACGAUUUUUAAAAAAAACAUGUCGAUGAUUAUAAUUUCUUAUCAAAUAAUGAAUCCUAUUCAGAUAUUCGUCUUUAAUAUUAGAAAAUUAUUAAUUUCUGUGGACAUUUGUCAAAAAAUAUUACUUAAAGUGGACUACUUUGCGCAUCAAACUGGUUUCCGCUUCAGUUGUGAGGCACUUCCGUUAUACUUUUGACAACAAUAACAAAACACAAAAUGAAUCAAUAAAGUCACUUAUAAACCGACUGCUACUUAAAUCAGUGUAAGUAAAGUUGUUGUUACAACAUUAUACAUGUUCGUUACGUUAUGAGAUAAAUUUUAUCUUGAACUGCAUAAUCCAUUAAUUACGUUUAGAUGAUAUUGCAUUUACAACUUAUUUGACCCCAUUUUUUUACGUGAAUGACAGCAUUCUCGUGCAACUCGUGCAAACAGAGUUAUGAAAAGUAUGGUGGAGAAUUCAAGGACAAAUUAUAAAUGACAUUAAAGUGAGGAUAACUGUAUAUUCAUCCAGUUUUGAUCAUUGACAUUCCUGCUGUGUAUUAGUAACUUUUGUGAACAAGAUUAGAAUGUUGCUUUUGCACAUAUACACAUUGAUUGGACCUCUCAACCAAAUUUCAUACCUUACUUUAGGGAUUUUUAAGACAGUACAUUUUCAAAAGUUUGUUGAAUGUGUUUUGAUAUUUAAGUGCAUUGUAGUUCAUGAAUACCAAGUUAAAAAUUAAUAAUGGCAACAUUUCUAGGCCUUUAUUGUAAGCCACUAGACUUCUGUAAUGAUAAAUGUUUAAUGUAUUAAGGGGAAUAUACUCUUUUAGUUUUGUAAUGUGGCAUACCUUGACCACCAUAUCUUUUCUU